rnacentral:rRNA from 1 species
CCCAGCUUGCUGGGCGGAUUAGUGGCGAACGGGUGAGUAACACGUGAGUAACCUGCCCUUGACUCUGGGAUAAGCCCGGGAAACUGGGUCUAAUACCGGAUAGGAGCGCCUGUCGCAUGACGGGUGCUGGAAAGAUCUUUCGGUCAUGGAUGGACUCGCGGCCUAUCAGCUUGUUGGUGAGGUAACGGCUCACCAAGGCGACGACGGGUAGCCGGCCUGAGAGGGUGACCGGCCACACUGGGACUGAGACACGGCCCAGACUCCUACGGGAGGCAGCAGUGGGGAAUAUUGCACAAUGGGCGAAAGCCUGAUGCAGCGACGCCGCGUGAGGGAUGACGGCCUUCGGGUUGUAAACCUCUUUCAGCAGGGAAGAAGCGAAAGUGACGGUACCUGCAGAAGAAGCACCGGCUAACUACGUGCCAGCAGCCGCGGUAAUACGUAGGGUGCGAGCGUUAUCCGGAAUUAUUGGGCGUAAAGAGCUCGUAGGCGGUUUGUCACGUCUGUCGUGAAAGUCCGGGGCUUAACCCCGGAUCUGCGGUGGGUACGGGCAGACUAGAGUGCAGUAGGGGAGACUGGAAUUCCUGGUGUAGCGGUGGAAUGCGCAGAUAUCAGAGGAACACCGAUGGCGAAAGCAGGUCUCUGGGCUGUAACUGACGCUGAGGAGCGAAAGCAUGGGGAGCGAACAGGAUUAGAUACCCUGGUAGUCCAUGCCGUAAACGUUGGGCACUAGGUGUGGGGACCAUUCCACGGUUUCCGCGCCGCAGCUAACGCAUUAAGUGCCCCGCCUGGGGAGUACGGCCGCAAGCUAAACUCAAGGAAUUGACGGGGCCCGCACAAGCGCGAGCAUGCGAUUAUCGAUGCAACGCGAGACU